GUAGGACUAUUAGGAAGGCAUAUAAAGG
rnacentral:piRNA from 1 species